GUUGAACGCUGGCGGCAGGCCUAACACAUGCAAGUCGAACGGAAAAAGGGAACUUUCUCCUGGAUUCAGCGUCGGGCGGGUGAGUAAUGCCUAGGAAUCUGCCUGGUAGCACGUGGUAACGUCCGGGAGCAGGCGCUACUACCGCAUACGUCCUGAGGGAGAAAGUGGGGGAUCUUCGGAGCUCACGCUUUCAGAUGAGCCUAGGUCGGAUUAGCUAGGUGGUGGGGUAAAGGCCUUCCCAGGCGACGAUCCGUAACUGGUCUGAGAGGAUGAUCAGUCACACGGGAACUGAGACACGGUCCAGACUACUACGGGAGGCAGCAGUGGGGAAUAGUGGACAAUGGGCGAAAGCCUGAUCCAGCCAUGGCGAGCGUGUGAAGAAGGUCCUCGGAUUGUAAAGCCCUUUUAGUGGGGAGGAAGGGCAGUAAGUUAAUACCUUGCUGUUGUGACGUUACCAAGAGAAGAAGCACCGGCUAACUACGUG
rnacentral:rRNA from 1 species